GUGUGAAUGCAUGAGUGUACACACUCAUGCACACACACACACCUUAGCACUAAGG
ensembl:miRNA Gm27361 predicted gene, 27361